UACGUAGGUGGCAAGCGUUGUCCGGAUUUACUGGGCGUAAAGAGCGCGCAGGCGGUCGUUCAAGUCGCGUGUGAAAGCCCCCGGCUCAACUGGGGAGGGUCACGCGAUACUGAUCGACUCGAAGGCAGGAGAGGGAAGUGGAAUUCCCGGUGUAGUGGUGAAAUGCGUAGAUAUCUGGAGGAACACCGGUGGCGAAGGCGGCAUCCUGGACCGGCAUUGACGCUGAGGAGCGAAAGCCAGGGGAGCAACGGG
rnacentral:rRNA from 1 species